ensembl:lncRNA SOX2-OT SOX2 overlapping transcript
AUAAACGAUUUUUCUUGUUGCAGGGGAUUGCAGUGGCAAAGCUAGGCUAGGUCUUGGAGGCUGGUGUAAGGCGAUGUGGGUGAAGGCAGGAGGCUGAUGGAAAGACUGGGGGGAAGAAAAGCCGAAAUGGAUUCACGGUGCCUUGGAUGAAGGACGAGAGGGGAACUGCAAGCUCCUUCAACUGGUUCUGUCCGGUGAGAAGUGAUCAAGCUUGGGCUGACAAGAGGCUCAGGGAGCCCUCACGUUCUUUCGCUUUUUUACCUGCCAAUCAAACUGCUACAAGACAACACCCUGAUCUGGCAUGGACAUGCCUCCCUACAGCGUUGGCUCAGCUCUAGCUACUUGGAAGGUCGUGGCAAUGCUGUCUCAGAAUGUCCGUUUCUAGAGUACAGAGAAGAAAUUCUAGCUUGACGUCCACGUGCAUUUGUCUGUGUUUCAGAGGAAAUUCCAAUUCUAAACUCUUGGAAGAAACAAUUUCUCGGCAUGCUGAAGAGAAUUGCUGUUUUUUGGCACCUGAAACACUUUUACCCAAGGGUUCUGAUUAUUUAAAUAAUUGGUAUGCUAUAAAUAUUCUGGUUGACAGAAAUGUGGUUUAAUGUAGAUGAGUUGUAAAAACAUGAGACAAACAUGCUCCAGGCUAAAAAUAUCUGGAUUAAAAAAGAAAAAGAAAAGAAGAGGUGGGAGAAGAGAGAGAGGAAGG